AUCUGGCAACUCUAUUCAUCUGUGAGACACACUGGGUAAUGAAAGACUUGGUAUAUUAUUUGUAAAGAGUCUGAACAAUGUCAUCAAGAACAAUGUGGUUUGGGGUUAAAACUGCCCAGAGCUCUCACUCAUGGCCUUUAUUCUAUGCCGAUAAUUACUCCUCCCGAUGACCACAGGUGCCUUUGGAGACAUCUGGUCUCCCUAAGUCACCUGGGCUGGUCUCGAACUCCUAGCCUCAACUGAUCCUCCCACCUCGGCCUCCCAAAGCACUGGGAUCUCAUCUUCCUCAUCAGAGAAAAGUUAAUGAUGCUGUCGGUGUGGGGGUCUGCCUGGCACAGCCAGUCUCUUCCCUAUGGCAAAUGAAGCACACCUGCCUUCCCUCACUGAUGUGCAGUGCUCUCAUUCCUCUCCCGGCCAUGAGUGGAUGAUGACAAACAGAUCCUGAGAUUCAGCAAGAGGGCCUCCUCUAUCCACGUGCUCAGAAAGUUGGUGAGAGGUGUGAUUCUCCUACGCCGAAACACAGUUUUCACGGAGACGUGUGUCCACUGAUUGUCCUUCAGGAGGUCAAGAUAAGGAGUAAAUGAGAAUGUCUUUGAAAAUAUUUUCAUUACCCAAUACUUUAAAAUGAAGAAAAAUCCUUUUGUCUAGGGAAGUUCAUGUUUAGAAUAAAGUAAUAUUUCCCAAAGUUUCCAACUGAUAAGAAA